rnacentral:rRNA from 1 species
CAUUGUAUUAUGGGGGCAACCCUGAUCCAGCCAUGCCGCGUGAGUGAUGAAGGCCUUCGGGUUGUAAAGCUCUUUCUUCUGGGAAGAUAAUGACGGUACCCGCGGAGGAAGCCCCGGCUAACUCCGUGCCAGAAGCCGCGGUAAUUUAAAAGCAGCCGCGGUAAUAAUAAACGCUGCCCG